UGCAAAAGUAUACAAUAGUCUGCAGUGACUCAGUUAAAAGUUCCUAAUGAGGGAGUUGGGCUGUAGCGCAGCGGGUUAAGCGCAGGUGGUGCAAAGCACAAGGACCGGCAUAAGGAUCCCAGUUCGAACCCCGGCUCCCCACCUGCAGGGGAGACCGGCAUAAGGAUCCCAGUUCGAACCCCGGCUCCCCACCUGCAGGGGAGUCGCUUCACAGGCGGUGAAGCAGGUCUGCAGGUGUCUAUCUUUCUCUCCUCCUCUCUGUCUUCCCCUC